rnacentral:rRNA from 1 species
CCUACGAGCGGCAGCAGUGAGGAAUAUUGGUCAAUGGGAGGAAUCCUGAACCAGCCAUGCCGCGUGCAGGACGACGGCUCUACGAGUUGUAAACUGCUUUUGUACCGGGGUAAAAUGCUCUACGAGUAGGGCUUUGAAAGUACGGUACGAAUAAGGAUCGGCUAACUCCGUGCCAGCAGCCGCGGUAAUACGGAGGAUCCGAGCGUUAUCCGGAUUCAUUGGGUUUAAAGGGUGCGUAGGUUGUUUUAUAAGUUAGCGGUGAAAUACCGAUGCUCAACAUCGGGGCUGCCGCUGAUACUGUAGGACUAGAGAUCGGAUGUAGCAGGCGGAAUGUGUAGUGUAGCGGUGAAAUGCAUAGAUAUUACACAGAACACCGAUUGCGAAGGCAGCUUGCUAGGCCGGAUCUGACACUGAUGCACGAAAGCGUGGGGAUCAAACAGGAUUAGAUACCCGGGUAGUC